UACGUAGGGGGCGAGCGUUGUCCGAAGUUACUGGGCGUAAAGCGCGCGUAGGCGGGUUGGCAAGUCUGCUGUGAAAGCCUGGAGCUUAACUCCGGAGGGUCGGUGGAUACUGCCAAUCUUGAAGGGACUAGGGGGAGAUGGAAUUACCGGUGUAGCGGUGAAAUGCGUAGAGAUCGGUAGGAACACCAGUGGCGAAGGCGGCGAUCUGGGAAGAUACUGACGCUGAGGUGCGAAAGCGUGGGGAGCAAACAGG
rnacentral:rRNA from 1 species